CACGUAGGGGGCGAGCGUUGUCCGGAUUUAUUGGGCGUAAAGAGCUCGUAGGCGGCUCGGUAAGUCAGGUGUGAAACCUCCAGGCUCAACCUGGAGACGCCACCUGAUACUGCCGUGGCUAGAGUCCGGUAGAGGAGCGUAGAAUUCCUGGUGUAGCGGUGAAAAUGCGCAGAUAUCAGGAGGAAUACCAGCGGCGAAGGCGGCGCUCUGGGCCGGUACUGACGCUGAGGAGCGAAAGCGUGGGGAGCAAACAGG
rnacentral:rRNA from 1 species